ensembl:lncRNA
CUGCUCCUGCGGCUCGGAGAGAGCUGGCUUUUUUCUCGGGAAGGCACCCGGCUCCCGUUCCGGCACUCGCCCCGCCCAAGCCAACUCCGCUGCCCGCCAGGCUGCCAGAGGAACCGGGCAAACUCCUUUCCUGGCCGGCUCCUUGGCCCUCCUGCCAGCCCAGCCCAGCCUGGCCGGGAGAAAUGCUCGCCCCCCCCACCCCCGCCUGCUGUCGGGGAGAUUCUGGAGCUGAUCAGGGAAUAUGCAAAUAGAGGCUGCUUCAAUCGAAACCUUCGAUCCGGAAGUGGUGGCGGCGGGUGCGAAGGGACUGCCAGCCUUCCGCGCCCAGGCCUGCCGGGACCCCUGGUCGGCCCCCUCCUCCCUCCAGCUGGAAUCCCAGCCGGACAGACCCGGAGCGACGCAGGCAGGGAGGGCAGCCGACGGAACCACCGCGCCGCAGCGGGAGAGUCGCCCGGGCGCAGCCGCAGGGGCCCGAGCCGGAUUCGCUUCUUCUUAGCUCCGGCGCAGACCGUGGCGGCCGGAGGGUCUCCGAAAGCUGCGCCCCGCCUUUUCCUUCCCCGGGAACCGGUGCGUUCUAGGAGCCUCACCGACCAGGCCAAGGCGAGGAAGGGCGGACGGGCGGCGGGGGAGCUGCCGCCGACCUGUCCAUUUGGAGAGAAGGGCUCGGUGCCCUUCCUGCUGGACGCGGCCCGAGGCUUCGGCCGCGGAGGCGUCGCAAGACCUGGGGGGAACCGGGAUGCUAAGGCUGCGCCCCCGAGAUUUCUCGCGGAAGACGGGUGCCAGUCCUUACGACGAGAGGGGAGGCUUGGGCCGAGUCUCUCCGCCGGACGCGGGGAAAGACCGCCUCCAGGAGAGGCCUCCUCGGACACGGUGAGGCCCGCUGCCCAGGGGCUUGAAGGCCCUCUCUCUCUCUCCCUGGCGAAACUGGCGCGCGUGCACGCACCACCCCCCAGCGCGCGCACUUGGCUUCCUCCCGCGCCGGAGGGAAAACGAAGGGGCUCCCCUCGUUCCGAAGGCAGGCGGCGGGUGAAGCGAGAGGAGGGCGAGGGCGGGAAGAGUCUGCGUGCCAUCCCAGGGCCAGCGGGACACACGUCAUACUCCCCGCCGCCGUGCCCACGUCCUGCUGGGCGACGAGGCGUCCUCCAGCCCUUGGCCUCAGGCCGUGAAAUGUCCGGGGCUGGCUGAGCCAGGCGGCUGCCCCUCAGCGGGCGAGGGGGGCGGGCGGGCGAGGCACUGCCCAUCACGGCCGGUGGGCACUCCUGGGAAACGCAAGGACCGCGGGAGUUUCCCACCGUAGGAGAAGCCAACCUUCCUAGUAACCUAGUAGUAACGUUUGUUUUAAUUUGAACCUCUGUCGGGUUUAUUGCUCUCGGGCAGCGAAAGACAUAUAGGGUGAAUCAAGCUUGUAAAAGUCCCGUAGCGAACCUUAUAAGGUGGUUCGUGAAGACUUGGUUCCAGUCUAUGCCUCCAUUCAAAUGGGCCAGGGCUGCUCUGCAGAACAGAACAGAACAGUAGGGGCGGCUUUUGGUUCGGUUCCAGUCUAUGCCUCCAUUCAAAUGGGCCAGGGCUGCUCUGCAGAACAGAACAGAACAGAACAGAACAGCAGGGGCGGCCUUAAAAGCUGACGGAGGAGUCGCGCUGCUGUUUACUCUGCUAAGAAAGGGCUCUCCAGAGAGGCUUCCGGGUCUCUAUCCCAUUUCGCCCCAGAAGAGUGUGGCCAGGGACAGGGAUCUCUGAUCAGCCAACCACCAGGAAUGGAGACUCUUGCUUGCAAGGGACAGGAAGGGAGCUUAAAACAGAAGACUUUCUGGGAGCGGGCGGGGGGCGGGGGGGGGCGCCCGCCGGCAGGGUGUUUGAAAAGAGGGGACGAACUUCUGCUGAAAGGGUAAAAACCGGACACAGGCCUGCUGGGAUGCCCAGAGACACGUGUUUCUGUGUGAGAGAGAAAGGGAGAAGGGAAGAGAAGAAUCCUGAGGUUAGCGUAGUGUUUGGUCCUCCAACCCAGGCAGGUUUUGGAAGUGCAUACACACAGGUAUGCACACAGAUUCAGAUUCUUAUGUUCUUCCUCCUUUUCCCACUCUUUGUAGAAAAAAUAUAUAUAAUUUGAAAAAAAAAAUACAUGUAUUUUUGCAAGCCACUUCACCGCUCUAAGGAUAAUUGCCACCACUGAAAUUUUAGGCAGUUGCUGUCGGAAGAUUCACAGUCCAAGAGACAAGAAGAGAAAGGAACAGGCAGGGAAGGGGCAAGUGCUGGAGCAGCCGCUCCCCCUGGGCUGAGGGACAGACGGGGGGGGGGCAGGGCCAGCUUGGUCUCCCUCUAGUCCUUUCUGGGAGCCUUUCGGCCCGUUCCUGGGCUUGGCCUCCUGGCCAGAGACGAAGGCCAGGGCAGGCCUCUGCCGAUGCAAGAAAAGCUCUGGGCACCUUCAUCCUUCCGUGGUGAGACCCACUGGCCUGCAAAUGCCAGGUGUCUCUCUGGUUAUGUCCUUACACCUCCCCGUUUUUCCUUGCUGUCCUUCAACCCUUCCUUUAACAAGAAAAUCCAACCCGUAAUCCCAAAGUGGAAAUAAAUACAUGAACUUAAUAAAACGUUAUUUUAUA